GUGCUUGGGCAGCACACAUACUAAGAGAAAGGUUGGCACGGCCCCUGCACAAGGAUGACACAAAUUCGUGAGGUGUUCAUUAUCUUC
rnacentral:snRNA from 1 species